rnacentral:rRNA from 1 species
UGGGGAAUUUUGGACAAUGGGCGAAAGCCUGAUCCAGCAAUGCCGCGUGUGUGAAGAAGGCCUUCGGGUUGUAAAGCACUUUUGUCCGGAAAGAAAUCCUUGGCUCUAAUACAGUCGGGGGAUGACGGUACCGGAAGAAUAAGCACCGGCUAACUACGUGCCAGCAGCCGCGGUAAUACGUAGGGUGCAAGCGUUAAUCGGAAUUACUGGGCGUAAAGCGUGCGCAGGCGGUUUGCUAAGACCGAUGUGAAAUCCCCGGGCUCAACCUGGGAACUGCAUUGGUGACUGGCAGACUAGAGUAUGGCAGAGGGGGGUAGAAUUCCACGUGUAGCAGUGAAAUGCGUAGAGAUGUGGAGGAAUACCGAUGGCGAAGGCAGCCCCCUGGGCCAAUACUGACGCUCAUGCACGAAAAGCGUGGGGAGCAAAACAGGAUUAGAUACCCUGGUAGUCCACGCCCUAAAACGAUGUCAACUAGUUGUUGGGGAUUCAUUUCCUUAGUAACGUAGCUAACGCGUGAAGUUGACCGCCUGGGGGAGUACGGUCGCAAGAUUAAAACUUAAAUGAAUUGACGGGGUCAUAGCUGUUUCCU